rnacentral:rRNA from 1 species
CGAACGGGUGAGUAACACGUGAGUAACCUGCCCUCUUCUUUGGGAUAACGCCCGGAAACGGGUGCUAAUACUGGAUAUUCACUGAUCUUCGCAUGGGGGUUGGUGGAAAGGUUUGUUCUGGUGGGGGAUGGGCUCGCGGCCUAUCAGCUUGUUGGUGGGGUGAUGGCCUACCAAGGCUUUGACGGGUAGCCGGCCUGAGAGGGUGACCGGUCACAUUGGGACUGAGAUACGGCCCAGACUCCUACGGGAGGCAGCAGUGGGGAAUAUUGCACAAUGGGCGGAAGCCUGAUGCAGCGACGCCGCGUGAGGGAUGGAGGCCUUCGGGUUGUAAACCUCUUUCGCUCAUGGUCAGGCCGCAACUGUGGGUUGUGGUGAGGGUAGUGGGUAAAGAAGCGCCGGCUAACUACGUGCCAGCAGCCGCGGUAAUACGUAGGGCGCGAGCGUUGUCCGGAAUUAUUGGGCGUAAAGGGCUUGUAGGCGGUUGGUCGCGUCUGCCGUGAAAUUCUCUGGCUUAACUUGGGGGCGUGCGGUGGGUACGGGCUGACUUGAGUGCGGUAGGGGAGACUGGAACUCCUGGUGUAGCGGU